rnacentral:lncRNA from 1 species
CUCUGAUCAGCUGAUUCUUCCUUACAAAUACUGUCUUUGCUUCUGGAGCUGUUCCCUCCUCUCCCCUUGAGCUUAAAAGACUUCCUCAACCAAGAAAUGAGCAGUCCUCACCCUCUGGACUGUGUGUGGCAGAAACAUUCCCUGCUCCUGACUCCACGUGUCCUCCGUUACUCUGCUCCGUCACUCUGCUCCAGUGUGUAUAUCAUAAGGCCUGGGUCCAAGUCCACUCGCCACUAGAGCUUCAGCACAAGAGAGCUUCACAUCGGCCAUCAGCUUUACAUCAAUUGCAGGAAGGACCUGAUGUCUGUGGAGGCCAAACAACCAGGACUGAAGCUGAUGCUGUAUGUGGGAAUCCACAGGACCGGACUCUGUCCUGCCUCUCAUCUCCUAAGGGCAUCUGAAAAUUGAGAUGAGAUCCAGGAAGAUGCAGUUCAAUCUCAGAGAUGAAGACGGAAAUCAAGGCAGGGAGCCAAAUGUUUCCAAGCUAUGCAGGAGGCUCAGCCUGAGACCAUAGGGUCCAAAGACACUCAAGCAACAAUGGAGAGCCACAAACCAACAAUGGAGAGCCAUCAGGCAACAAUAGAGAGCUACCAGGCAAUAGUGGAGAGCCACUUAAGAAUCAGAGCAUCUAAGACCUUAGAGCCACAAAAAGUGACUAAGGCAGACUACACCAGGGCCAGCCAAGGGCUGACUUGCUCUUACCUCUGUACUGAAAAACCUGGAAGAAAUGACACUAGACUGCCUCCCAGGAGCCCAGAACCCCAUGCUGUCCACACACCUAGUUCACCAGAAUGGUGCCUUUGUGUCCUCGGUGUCUCAUUCUGGAAGUCAUGGGGAGCUCUGGAUCCAGAUACCUGUGGACUCUAGAAUGUCACUGAGGCGGCUUCCUGCUCAGCUGGCCUGCACCGACCAGCAGGCUAGAUUCAAACCAGAUCUUAAGAGAUAGAAAGAAGACAUGGAGUUGGAAAGGUGGGAGAUGGAGAGAGUCUGGGAGAAAAUGAAGGAGACAAAACCAUGGCAAUCAGAAUAUAGUAUAUGAAAAUAACUAUUUUCAAUGAAGAAAUAAUUUCCAACUAGAGUUGGGUCAUUGCUGUCAUUACCAACUUUGAAGGCUUCUAUGGUCAACAAUGUGAAGAUUAGCAGGAUCCCCAAACCUGGAAGCUGGACAGGUGGAGGAUCAUGAAAUCACAUUUCAUCUGACAGAUGCUGAUUUGGGGAGAUCCAGAGCACAUACAAG